CCUACGGGAGGCAGCAGUGGGGAAUAUUGGGCAAUGGAGGCAACUCUGACCCAGCAACGCCGCGUGAAUGAUGAAGGUCUUCGGUUUGUAAAGUUCUGUGAUGGGGGAUGAACACAAUGACGGUACCCCACUAGCAAGCCACGGCUACCUACGUGCCUGCAGCCGCGGUAAUACGUAGGUGGCAAUCGUUAUCCGGAAUGACUGGGCGUAAAGGGUGCGUAGGUGGUUUAGUAAGUUGGCGGUGUAAUUCCGGGGCGCAACCUCGGCGCUACCGCCAAAACUAGUAGACUAGAGUGCAGGAGGAGUAAGUGGAAUGCCUAGUGUAGCGGUGGAAUGCGUAGAUAUUAGGAGGAACAUCAGGGGCGAAGGCGACUUACUGGACUGUAACUGACACUGAGGCACGAAAGCGUGGGGAGCAAACAGGAUUAGAUACCCUUGUAGUC
rnacentral:rRNA from 1 species